CAUAAUAAAAUGUUUUAAUGGAGAAGAGUGUCGUGCCUCCACCACUUUUUAUGGAUCAUGUAAUAUCAUAGAAUGUAAAAAGUGAACAGCCCGCUACACAAGCAUUUAGAUAGGUAUUACUGUUGGAGCUAGAAACACAAGCAUUUAGGUAGGUAUUACAGUACUGUUGGAGCAAGAAACACAAGCAUUUAGCUAGGUAUUACAGCACUGUUGGAGCAAGAAACACAAGCAUUUAGCUAGGUAUUACUGUUGGAGCUAGAAACACAAGCAUUUAGCUAGGUAUUACUGUUGGAGCUAGAAACACAAGCAUUUAGCUAGGUAUUACAGUACUGUUGGAGCAAGAAACACAAGCAUUUAACUAGGUAUUACUGUUGGAGCUAGAAACACAAGCAUUUAGCUAGGUAUUACAGUACUGUUGGAGCAAGAAACACAAGCAUUUAGCUAGGUAUUACUGUUGGAGCUAGAAACACAAGCAUUUAGCUAGGUAUUACUGUUGGAGCUAGAAACACAAGAAUUUAGCUAGGUAUUACUGUUGGAGCUAGAAACACAAGCAUUUAGCUAGGUAUUACUGUUGGAGCUAGAAACACAAGCAUUUAGCUAGGUAUUACAGUACUGUUGGAGCUAGAAACAAGCAUUUAGCUAGGUAUUACAGUACUGUUAUAGCUAGAAACACAAACAUUUAGCUAGGUAUUACUGUACUGUUGGAGCUAGAAACAUAAGCAUUUAGCUAGGUAUUACUGUUGGAGCUCGAAACACAAGCAUUUAGAUAGGUAUUACUGUACUGUUGGAGCUAGAAACAUAAGCAUUUAGCUAGGUAUUACUGUUGGAGCUCAAAACACAAGCAUUUAGCUAGGUAUUACAGUACUGUUGGAGCUCGAAACACAAGCAUUU
rnacentral:lncRNA from 1 species